UACGGGGGGGGCAAGCGUUGUUCGGAAUUACUGGGCGUAAAGCGCGCGUAGGUGGUUUGUUAAGUUGGAUGUGAAAUCCCCGGGCUCAACCUGGGAACUGCAUCCAAAACUGGCAAGCUAGAGUAUGGUAGAGGGUGGUGGAAUUUCCUGUGUAGCGGUGAAAUGCGUAGAUAUAGGAAGGAACACCAGUGGCGAAGGCGACCACCUGGACUGAUACUGACACUGAGGUGCGAAAGCGUGGGGAGCAAACAGG
rnacentral:rRNA from 1 species